ensembl:snRNA U6 U6 spliceosomal RNA
GUGCUCCCUUUGGCAGCACAUAUACUAAACUAUACAGAGAAGAUUAGCAUGGCCCCUGUGCAAGGAUGACACAAAAAUUCGUGAAGCAUUCCAUAUUUUU